UACGAAGGGGGCUAGCGUUGCUCGGAAUCACUGGGCGUAAAGCGCACGUAGGCGGAUCUUUAAGUCAGGGGUGAAAUCCUGGAGCUCAACUCCAGAACUGCCUUUGAUACUGGGGAUCUCGAGUCCGGAAGAGGUGAGUGGAACUCCGAGUGUAGAGGUGAAAUUCGUAGAUAUUCGCAAGAACACCAGUGGCGAAGGCGGCUCACUGGCCCGAUACUGACGCUGAGGCACGAAGGCCAGGGGAGCAAACGGG
rnacentral:rRNA from 1 species